rnacentral:rRNA from 1 species
UACGGAGGGGGCUAGCGUUGUUCGGAAUUACUGGGCGUAAAGCGUAUGCAGGCGGAUCGUUAAGUCGGGGGUGAAAUCCCGAGGCUCAACCUCGGAACUGCCUUCGAUACUGGCGAUCUUGAGUCCGGGAGAGGUGAGUGGAACUCCGAGUGUAGAGGUGAAAUUCGUAGAUAUUCGGAAGAACACCAGUGGCGAAGGCGGCUCACUGGCCCGGUACUGACGCUGAGGCACGAAAGCGUGGGGAGCAAACAGG